rnacentral:rRNA from 1 species
CAUGCAAGUCGAACGGAAAGGCCCUUCGGGGUACUCGAGUGGCGAACGGGUGAGUAACACGUGGGUGAUCUGCCCUGCACUUUGGGAUAAGCCUGGGAAACUGGGUCUAAUACCGAAUACACCCUUCUGGCUGCAUGGUCCGGGAGGGGAAAGCUUUUGCGGUGUGGGAUGGGCCCGCGGCCUAUCAGCUUGUUGGUGAGGUUACGGCUCACCAAGGCGACGACGGGUAGCCGGCCUGAGAGGGUGACCGGCCACACUGGGACUGAGAUACGGCCCAGACUCCUACGGGAGGCAGCAGUGGGGAAUAUUGCACAAUGGGCGCAAGCCUGAUGCAGCGACGCCGCGUGAGGGAUGACGGCCUUCGGGUUGUAAACCUCUUUCGCCAGGGACGAAGCGCAAGUGACGGUACCUGGAGAAGAAGGACCGGCCAACUACGUGCCAGCAGCCGCGGUAAUACGUAGGGUCCGAGCGUUGUCCGGAAUUACUGGGCGUAAAGAGCUCGUAGGUGGUUUGUCGCGUUGUUCGUGAAAACUCACA